rnacentral:rRNA from 1 species
AACUGCUUUUGUACGGAACGAAAGGCUCUGCCCUAAUACGGCGGAGAUAUGACGGUACCGUAAGAAUAAGCACCGGCUAACUACGUGCCAGCAGCCGCGGUAAUACGUAGGGUGCAAGCGUUAAUCGGAAUUACUGGGCGUAAAGCGUGCGCAGGCGGUUAUAUAAGUCAGAUGUGAAAUCCCCGGGCUCAACCUGGGAACUGCAUUUGAGACUGUAUAGCUGGAGUACGGCAGAGGGGGAUGGAAUUCCGCGUGUAGCAGUGAAAUGCGUAGAUAUGCGGAGGAACACCGAUGGCGAAGGCAAUCCCCUGGGCCUGUACUGACGCUCAUGCACGAAAGCGUGGGGAGCAAACAGGAUUAGAUACCCUGGUAGUCCACGCCCUAAACGAUGUCAACUGGUUGUUGGG